rnacentral:lncRNA from 1 species
AUGCUGCCCCCAUUUCUGGGGGUGGGACUCCUCCCCCUCCUGGAGGUCCCGGUAUUCCUUGGGGUUUUACCUGCCCUAGAGGAGGAAGAAGAAGAAAAAACCAUGGCAACUGGAGACAAGGGGCCAGGUCGGGGGGAGGGGGUAGACGGUGCUGACAGCAGUGAGCCGCCCCCAAUCGCUGAAACUCCCCACGGCCCCCUGAGCACCCACAACAUUCGCUCCUCCACUUGA